UGAAAUAUAGAUGGGAAACGGUCC
rnacentral:siRNA from 1 species